UCCCUAGGUGAACUUGCGGAGGGAUCAUUACUGAGUUACCGCUCAUCAACCCUGUGUGAACAUACCUUAACUGUGGCUUCGGCGGGUAUGCGUCCCCUAAAAAGGUCGUCUCCCGGCCCUCUCACGUCCGCGGGUGGGUCGCCCGCCGGAGGAUAACCAAACUCUGAUUUAACGACGUUUCUUCUGAGAGACACAAGCAAAUAAUCAAAUCUUUUAACAACGGAUCUCUUGGUUCUGGCAUCGAUGAAGAACGCAGCGAAAUGCGAUAAGUAAUGUGAAUUGCAGAAUUCAGUGAAUCAUCGAAUCUUUGAACGAACAUUGCGCUCGCAAGCAUUCUGGCGGCCAUGCCUGUUCGAGCGUCAUUUCAACCCUCAAGCUCUGCUUGGAGUUGGGGCUCUACGGUUGACGUAGACCCUUAAAGGUAGUGGCGGACCCUCUCGGUGCCUCCUAUGCGUAGUAACAUUUCGUCUCGCAUUGGGAUUCGGGGGGACUCUAGCCGUAAAACCCCCAAUUUUACUAUGGUUGACCUCGGAUCAGGUAGGCAUACCCGCUGUACUUAAGCAUAUCAAUAAGCGGAGGA
rnacentral:rRNA from 1 species